rnacentral:tRNA from 7 species
GCCCAUCUAGCCCACUUGGUGGAGCACAAGGCUUCUAACCUUAUGGUUAUGGGUUCAAGCCCUACUGUUUGCA